UGUUGAGGCUUCGGCAACCUCCGGUUGGUGCAGCUCUGUGGCUCCGAGCCCUGAUUGGCUGUCGAGAUCGGUCUGAGGGCCGCCUGGCCCUUAGUCAACCAGUCACAAAGGGGCAGCUGCUGCUGCCACCUUCGUAAACGUGGAAGGCACCUCGAGGGGGGUGCUAAAAAGUGUGACUUCCAGGGCAUGAAUUGUGAAAUAGCAUCAUGAAUAAUAAGCCAUGGGUAGUAACAACUAUUUAAAAAGAGCCACGAUGCCUUUUCAUUUAUGUACAUUGGGUAAAGAUGAUUGGCUGUAUAUAGCAUCAAGAGCUCUGGACCUGGAUGCAGGAGGCCUCUUCCAGCCCCAGCUAGACAACUUAACAUUGGACAAGGCACUUAACCUUUCAGAAUCUCAGUUCCCAGAUCUGAAAAUGAGAGAGUUGGGCAGGUCUCUCUAAAUUGCAUUGGAGUUCCAAUGACUUUGAUAAUACAUUUUAAGUGAUUUAAAUCAUUGUGAUCCAGAGAGCCAUGAAGUAGAAGUCAGAAAACAAGGUUUCACCUUCAGUUAAACUAAAAAUUAGUUAUCAAAUGAGAUGACAUAUGGCAAGUUGCCUGCCACAUAGUAUGUGUUCAAUAAAACAGCAACUGGUGUUAAUGGUAAUAAUGUUGAUCUAGACCACAAGGCUGCCACCCUGCUUGGGCUUUAGUUUUCACUUUGGUGAAAGGAAGCAUGAGUGGCAGCUCCUCCAUAAAGAAGACCAUGAUAAAUGUAUAUUGAAGGUGGUAGGGAUUGUUCUCUUACAUAUUUGCUAAGGACAGAUAGUUGACUAAUUUUUUAAGUAAAAGAGAAAAUCCAAAAUCAAAAUGGCUGAAUGAUGUCGCAUCACACGAGUUCUGGUGACAGACUGCCUGGGUUUUAAUCCUGAUCCAAUACUUGCCAGCUCUGUUACGUUGAGAAAGUACCUUUACUUCUGUAAAUUUCAAGUUCCUACCUUCUCAAAUAAGGGCACUAGUAGUGCCUACUUCGCAGAGUUGUGAGGACUGAGUUAGAAAAGUGUUAGCGAUGGUUAUUACCUAAGAAGCAGCACAAGAAGCUAUCGCAUAUGGUUACUAAGCAAGUGUGUCAAAGAUGCAGAAAUGCAAUCACUGCUGUGGGCCUUUCUCAUUCAUUGCAGUAAUGUUUACUGAGAGCCUCCCAUGUAUAAAGCCCUGUGCUGGGUGCUGGGGAUGCUGCAAUGACUACCAUCACAGGCAUAGUGUCUGUUGUCACAGAGACUAGCUGAGAAGACAAGUGAGAAGCAAGUAAUUACAAAGCAGAGUGAUGGGCAAGGAGCACAUGGUGGCAGGAGGAGGAUUGCUGGCAGAGGGGGCUGUCCUAGAAUCAGGGAAGUCCUUCCAAACUGACACCUGAAAGAUGAACAUAUAUUCCUCAAAUAAAAGGGUGGAUGGACAGAGAGAAGAUUACAUGUGGAAAGCUCUAGAGAUGAGAGAACUAAGUACAGCUGAACUAGAAUUGGACAAAGAGUGAAGGGAGAUGAGAUUAGGAAGAUACAGAGAGCCAAGUGGUUGUGAGCUUAAUAAUUGCACCUUUUGUUUAUAAAAUAAUAUAUAAAAUAAUAUAUAAUAAUAUUUAUUGUAAUUAUAAGUAUAUAUAUAUAUAUAUAUAUAUAUAUAUAUAUAUGUCCAGAACUGUGUGCCAUGCACUACCCAUUCAUUCUAUAGAUAUCUAGUGGGCCCUACUAUGUACUAGCACCGUUCCAGUGUUUGGAUACAUAACACCAGUGAAUGUAAAACAAAGAUCCUUGCUCCAGUGGAGCUUACAUUCUAGUAGGAGAAGACAAAUAAUAAUCAAUAAACAUAAUAAUUAAAGUGUAUAGUAUGUCAGAGGGUGGUAAGUAUAAUGGAAAAAAACAGAAGGGAGAUCAGGAGUGCCAUAGGACUUCAGGAAAAGUUAAGGUUUUUAAAAGGGUAGUGAGAGUACAUCUCAUUGAGAAGAGACAUUUGAGCAAAGACUUAAAGGAGGAGAUGAGUUAGCCGUAGGGAUAUCUGGGGGAAGAGCACUCCAGUAAAGAGAAUAGGCAGUGCCAAAUCCUUACGACCAGAGCAUCCUGGAGGAGUCCCAGGAAAAGUAAGGAUGGCACUGUAGCUGGAGUAGAAUGAACAAGGAGUAAAGUAGGAGAUGAGGUUACAAAGUGGAGGGUGAAGACUUCACUACAUAGGAUCUUAUAAAGAUUUUGGUGUGUAGUAGUUGUGGAAUGAGAAGCCAAUGGAAGGUUUGAGCAAAGGAGUGACCGGGUCUGAUUUUCCAAUCUGCUGGGUGGAGAAGAGACUGUGGACAGAACAGAGCGGAAGGAGACCAGUCAGGAGGCCACUGUAGUAAUCCAGAUGAGCAAACUGCAGUGGGUGCAUAAGUAAUCUGCCAGAGGUCAAGUAAAUAGGAGACCCCAAGGAAGAACCUUGCACUUACCACCAUGUAGGGACACAGAGAAAAGAUGGCUGUCUAUGAAACAUGAAGCAGGUCCUCACCAGACACCAAAUCUGCUGGUGCCUUGACCCUGCACUUCUCCACCUCCAGAAUUGUGAGAAAUAACAGUUUGUGGGGCGCCUGAGUGGCUCAGUUGGUUAAGCGUC